AUCGAUGGGAGCUUGCUCCCUGAGAUUAGCGGCGGACGGGUGAGUAACACGUGGGCAACCUGCCUAUAAGACUGGGAUAACUUCGGGAAACCGGAGCUAAUACCGGAUACGUUCUUUUCUCGCAUGAGAGAAGAUGGAAAGACGGUUUACGCUGUCACUUAUAGAUGGGCCCGCGGCGCAUUAGCUAGUUGGUGAGGUAAUGGCUCACCAAGGCGACGAUGCGUAGCCGACCUGAGAGGGUGAUCGGCCACACUGGGACUGAGACACGGCCCAGACUCCUACGGGAGGCAGCAGUAGGGAAUCUUCCGCAAUGGACGAAAGUCUGACGGAGCAACGCCGCGUGAACGAAGAAGGCCUUCGGGUCGUAAAGUUCUGUUGUUAGGGAAGAACAAGUACCAGAGUAACUGCUGGUACCUUGACGGUACCUAACCAGAAAGCCACGGCUAACUACGUGCCAGCAGCCGCGGUAAUACGUAGGUGGCAAGCGUUGUCCGGAAUUAUUGGGCGUAAAGCGCGCGCAGGUGGUUCC
rnacentral:rRNA from 2 species